CAAAACUAUGAGCGGCAGCACGGGCUGCAGUCCAUGCUGGUUUCAGGUAGGUGAGUCAGGUGUGCCCGUUCUUGUUCCUCUGGGCACAAAUGGGUUGAUGUUUGCGACACACCAAGAAGGGCUGUUGUCCGCUGGGGCCGCCUCCAUUGGCAGGCCUAGGGCCCGAAGGAAAGCCGGUGCUUCCGAUUUGUGCGUUAGGAGGUGCAUUUCGCCUGCUUUCUCUGCCAUCAGUCGGUUCUGCCCCCAUUUAUACGUGAUGGUGUGCUCUUGAAGCUGCUGGGUAAUUUGUCUGAGAGACCUUCUCCAUGUCAGAGUGUGCCUGGAAAUGUCUCUAUAAAAAGUUAGGUGCGCCCCUCCCAUGAGAGCCCCCCGGUCAGAGUCCCGAAUAAAUUUGACAAGUACAUCCCCAGGAGCCCCCUGGAGAGCCCUAGGUGCUUUGGGGAGCUGAAAACAAGAGUCCACACCUAUUUGCUUCACUUGUUUGGGUAGUAGCAGUGUGGCUAUCAUCCUCCGGCAGUAAUGGGGUAACUCAGUCAGUGACCGAUUCAGGCACCCCCCGGAUUCAGGCGCCUUUGCCUUAUCCUCCAUAGUAGCUAUUUGUGUAGUCAGGGUGCUGCAUUGCUUUUGCAGUGAUGCCAGGGCUGCAUCUGUGGCAGUCUGGGCUACUCCAACAUUUUUAAGGUCCUCUUCCACCAUCUUCACCCUUCCUGUCAGCGUGGAGAUUUCCUCCCUAAUCAGCGCCAUGUCAACAUGGAACAUAGCGAAGGCCUUUAUGUCGGCCUUCGUGGCUGGAGCGGAGUCACCCAGCUCCAUGUGUGUCGUGGGCUUCGCUGGUACCUUUGGUGGAGGUGAAUGGGUGACCGUCUGGCUCUCGUCGUCUGACGAAGGCGAGGUAUAGG